rnacentral:rRNA from 1 species
AUACGGAGGGAGCAAGCGUUAUUCGGAAUCACUGGGCGUAAAGGACGCGUAGGCGGGUUUGUAAGUCAGGUGUGAAAUCCUACAGCUCAACUGUAGAACUGCACUUGAAACUACAGACCUAGAGUAUGGAAGGGGCAGAUGGGAUUAGUGGUGUAGGGGUAAAAUCCGUGGAUAUCACUAGGAAUACCGAAAGCGAAGGCGAUCUGCUGGGACAUUUCUGACGCUGAGGCGUGAAAGCGUGGGGAGCAAACAGGAUUAGAAACCCUAGUAGUCC